GCAAUCAGGCUGCAGCUGGAGAGGACAAGGGCGGCUUCCGGGUGUUGGCGGGGGCAUUUGUCUCCUGCCGCAGCUGGGGCUGCAGAUCUAGUCUUCAGUUCACAGAGAACUGCCCCCCAACUGCUCCCCCGUACUCUGCUCCUACAGGCCCAGCUGCUGUGGCUGUGCGACCUGCAGGGACUGGCAGACCCGUAGCUAAGACGCCAGGAUUUCCUGGAAGCAGAGAAAUGGCCGAUUUCACUACUAGAUCUCAAGUGACUCUUGAAGAAAGGCAAGUUGGAUCUUGCUGUGUUCUCAUUUCACCCAAGACCUUUGGCUAGAUCAGAACAUAAAAAAUUCAUUUCAAAAAGUGAUACUGAGAAGAUAUGAGAAAUCUAGACAUGAGAAUUUACAAAUAAGAAAAGGCUGUAAAAGUUUGAAUGCAUCUAAGUUGCAGGAAGGAGGUUAUAAUGGACUUAACCAAUGUUUGUCGGUUACUCAGAGCAAAAUACUUCAAUGUAAUACAUGUGUGAAAGUCUUUAGGAAAUUUUCAAAUUCAAAUAGACUUAGGAGAAGACAUACUGGAGAGAAACCUUUCAAAUGUAAAGAAUGUGGCCAAUUCUUUCACAGGUUCUCACACCUAAGACAACAUGAGAUAAUUCAUACUGAAGAGAAACCCUACCAACAUGAAGAAUGUGGCAAAGAUUUUAAGCAGUCUUCAGGUCUUACUAUACAUGAGAGAAUUCAUACUAAAGAGAGACCCUACAAGUGUGAAGAAUGUGACAAAGCCUUUAAACAAUCUUCAAAACUGAAUAAACAUAAGAAAAUUUAUACUGGAGAUACAACCUACAAAUGUGAAGAAUGUGGCAAAGCCUUUUCCUAUUCCUCAACCGUUACUCAACAUAACAUAGUUCAUACUGAAGACAAACCCUACAAAUGUGAAGACUGUGGCAAAGCUUUGAAGUAGUCUUCAAACCUGACUAUGCGUAAGAUUAUUCAUAUGGGAGAGAAACCCUACAAAUGUGAUGAAUGUGGCAAAGCCUUUAGAAUAUCCUCAAAACUGAAAGAACAUAAAAGAAUUCAUACUUGAGAGAAACCCUAUAAAUAUGAAGAAUGUGGCAAAGCUUUUUACUGUUCCUCAGGCCUUACUCAACAUAACAUAGUUCAUACUGGAGACAAACCCUACAAAUAUAAAGAUUGUGGCAAAAUUUUUAAGUGGUUUUCAGACCUUACUAUACAUCAGAGAAUUCAUAGUGGAGAGAAACCCUAGAAAUGUGAAGAAUGUGGCAAAGCCUUUAAACAAUCCUCAAAACUGAAUGAACAUAUGAGAACUCAUACUGGAGAGAAAUCCUACAAAUGCGAAGAAUGUAGCAAAGCUUUUAAGCAACCUUCAGGCCUUACUCUACAUAAGAGAAUUCAUACUGGAGAGAACCCUUACAAAUUCGAAGAAUGUGGUAAAGCCUUUUAUUGGUUGUUAAGCUUUACUAAACAUAAUUGAUAGGGGAGAGAAACCCUACAAAUGUCAAGAAUGUGGCAAAGCUUUUAAGUGGUCUUCAAACCUUACUAUACACAAGAGAAUUCAUACGGGAGAGAAACCCUGCAAAUGUGAAGAAUGUGGCAAAGCUUGUAAGCAGUCUUUGGGCCUUACUAUACAAAAGAGAAUUCAUAAUGAAGAGAAACCCUACAAAUGUGAAGAAUGUGAUAAAGCCUUUUACUGGUCCUUAAGCUUUACUAAACGUAAGAUAGUUCAUACUGGAGAGAAGCACUACAAAUGUCAAGAAUACGUCAAAGCUUUUAAGCGUCUUCAAACCUUACUAUACAUAAGAGAAUUCAUACUGGAGAGAAACCCUACAAUUGUGAAAAAUGUGGCAAAGCCUUUUACUGUUCCUCACACCUUAUUCAACAUAACAUAGUUCAUACUGAAGAGAAACACUACAAAUGUCAAGAAUGUGGCAAAGCUUUUAAGAAGUCUUUAGACCUUAAUGUACAUAAGAUAAUUCAUAGUGGAGAGAAACCCUACAGAUAUGAAGAAUGUGGCAGUCUUUAAACAAUCCUCAAACCUGAAUGAACGUAAGAUAACUCAUAGUGGAGAGGAAUCCUACAAAUGUGAAGAAUGUGGCAAAGGCUUUAAACAAUCCUCAAACCUGAAUGAACAUAAGAUAACUCAUAGUGGAGAGGAAUCUUACAAAUGUGAAGAAUGUGGCAAAGGCUUUUACUGUUCCUCAAGCCUUACUAAGCAUAAGAUAGUUCAUACUGAAGAGAAACCAUACAAAUGUGAAGAAUGUGGCAAAGCUUUUAAGUGGUCCUCUGAACUUACUAUACAUCAGAGAAUUCAUACUGAAGAGAAACCCUGUAAAUGUGAAGAAUGUAUCAGAGUCUUUAAACACUCCUCAAAACCGAAUGAACAUAAGAGAAAUCAUACUGGAGAGAAACCCUACAAAUGUGAAGCAUGCGGCAAAGCUUUUUAAGCAGUCUUCAGGCCUUACUAUACAUAAGAGAAUUCAUACUGGAGAGGAAUCCAGAAAUGUGAAGAAUGUUGCAAAACCUUUUACUGGUCUUUAAGCUUUACUAAACAUAAGAGAGUUCAUAUUGGAGAGAUACCCUACAAAUGUCAAGAAUGUGGCAAAACUUUUUCUUGUUCCUCAAGUUUACUCAACAUAAGAGAGUUCAUACUGAAGAGAAAUCCCACAAAUGUAAAGAAUGUGGGAAAGCCUUUAACCAGUCCUUAAGCCUUACUAAACUUAUGAGAAUUCAUACUGGAAAAAAAUCAUACAAAUUGGAAGACUGUGGCAAAAUCUUUUAAGUAUUGCUCAAAUAUAUCCAGCCAUAAUUCAUACUAAAGAUUAUGCCUAUGAACCUAAGGAAGUUUGGCAAAGCUUAUGAAUACACCUCAAACUUUCCUAAGCCUUGGAGAAAUAUCAGUGAGAAACCUCAGAAAACUGAACAAUGUGGCAAGCCCUUUAAAUGGUUGUCACAUCUUACUGUAGGUAAAAUAAUUGAUAGUGGAGAAAAUCUCUACAAACAAAGAAUGUGUCAAAACUUCUAACAUGCUCAUACUUUAUGGCACAUAAAAGCGUUUAUACUUGAAAAAUUAUACAGAGUGUGGAAAAGCCAUUUCUAUCUGCUCACAUCAUAGUCAACAUCAGGAAGUUCAUACUUAAUAAAAUUAUUAUAAAUGUAAUUACUGUUCAAAGACCUUGGAAAAUAUAAACCCUUAAAAUAAAAAAGAGUAUUCUGGAGACAAACAUUACAAAUAUAAAGAGGGUUGUAAUACCUUUACUUGCCCUAUAUAAUGUACAGAUUUUACACUAGAAGAAAACUCUAAAGGAAUUACUCAAACUUGUUUGGCAUCAGAGAAUUUAUGUUGAAGGAAACCGUACAAAUGUAAUAAGUGUGGAAAAACAUUUGUUCAGAAACUACAGCUUACAAAACACCACACAGUUUAUAAUAAAAAAUAUUUUUGCAGAUGGAAUACAUAUGUAAAAAUAUUUAGUCAAAAUUAAGUCUUUGUAAACUUUAGAAAAUUCACGGUAGGGAGAACUAAGGCACUGGCACUUAAGACGUUACACUAAAUCAGAAUGUUCUGUAAAGAAAGUAAUCCAAAGCUAAAACUGUUGGAUAAUUUAUUUGUAUAUAAGUUUAAGAGGAGUGGAAGGUUAUUUUUUGGAGAGUUAAAAUUACAUUCAAGGUAUACGUUUUUCCUUGAAAAAAGUGUAAGUUUUUUGAAAAGCAAGUAGGUAAUUCAACUGUAAAAUUGCUUCAUGCUGUUCCUUUUUUCCUGUUGUUUGUGUAAAAGCAUGUCAUCAAUUUCUGUUGCAUCAGAAAUCUGAGAGAUUCCUUUCUUAUUAGGUAGGCAUCAUUCAUUAAUUUUUCCAUGGAAGAGUAAGGAUAUUAAAAUGUAAGAUGAUAAUGAAAAUCUGAUUGGAGAGGCUCUUUAUGGCUGACUUUUAACAUUGUUCAUGUGAUGCAUGAGUUAUGUGUUUAGAGUAAUAUUCUGCAUUAUAGUGAGAGGAAAACUUUGAGUUUUAGUAGUAAAUUGUUUUACCAAUUGUACUUUUAUGUAAUAAAAUGUAGGGAAUUUUAAAAUUCUUUUAUAAGACUGUGAUAACUUAACUUUUAAAUUAAACGAAAUGGUUUUAAACUUUUUAAGACGUGCAUUUAGUAAAGUGUUAUGUCACCAACUUUAACGUAUCCCACUGUAUUAAAGAUGUAGAUAAAAGAUGGUAACAUAGUAGAAUGACCUCUCUAGCAAUCUCUUUUGCCUGUGGCAUUAAACUGAAAAGUUUAACAGUAUUGUUUCAAUGGGUAAAAUGUACAUUUGUUUAACUUUUUAAAUUUUUGUAGGAACAUAAUAUUGUUUACCUAUUUAUGGCAUAUAUAGAAUAUUUUCAUACAGGCAUACAAUUUGUAAUCACAUCAGAGUAAAUGAGGUAUUCAUUACCUAAUGCAUUUUUUUUGUAUUACAGACAAUCCAUUUAAACAUUUUUAGUUAUCUAAAAAUGUACAAGUAAAUUAUUACUUGCUACAGAGGUUUUUUAUCGUCUUGAUAAUAAUUACAUAGUAGUAUAAUAAAUCUCACAUUUCUAAGUCCUGAAUGAAUAUUUUUAAAAAUUUGUCAUAUAUAUUUUGAACAAGUGGACUCUCUGCCUGUAAACUCAUGCAGACUGUUAGUUUUUACUUACAUGAUGCUAAAUAUACAAAUAUAUUACUCUUAAGAUAAACAUUAGGUGUAAGAAAAUUGUGGGGCAAGUAAUUGUGUGUGAGAGUACCUAUUUUCAGAAGACAAGCAAUAUUGGAACAAAAUAUCACUUUAAUAAAGUGGACAAAUCAUUUACUAGAAAACCAGAAACCUCAGUGAUUUUGAAUAAUAUCUGUAUUCUCUGCAUUUUAUUUAAUUAAUUACUGUGAAGUCUUAUGGACUGUGUUUCCGAAUCUUUCCAUGCAAAUUCUUUCUUUCAUUUGCCUGGUACUCAUGGUAGACUGAUUUUUUUUUUCAUAUUUUUUGUGUUUAUAAUUUAUUAAGUAUUCAUUAUGUGAGUUGCUCAGAUAUUCUAAGAAUUUUUAUAAAAUUUAGUAAUGCAUGCAAAAUAAUUUUUCAAUGUUAUUUCACAAUGAGUGUAUUAACUUAUAUUUCUUUUGUUGCUUUCUUUUUUCUUUUUUUUUUUUUUGAGAUGGUGUCUUGCUCUGUCACCCAGGCUAGAGUGCAAUGGUGGGAUCUCAGCUCACUACACCCUCCACCUGCUGGGUUCAAGCAAUUCUCUAGCCUCAGCCUCCUAAGUAGCUGGGACUACAGGCAUGUGCCACCAUGCCCAGCUAAUGUUUUUGUAUUUUUAGUAGAGACUGUGUUUCACUAUACUGGCCAGAGUGGCCUUGAACUCCUGACCUCGUGGUCCACACACCUCAUCCUCCCAAGGUGCUGGGAUUACAGGCGUGAGCCACUGCAUCUGACCAACUUAUAUUUCAUUUAGUUAGAACAUCCCAUUUUGUUAUUUUAAUUGGAGAAACCUGUGUAAGCUAAGUUUCCUUAUUGUUCCUUUUACUCUUUAUAAUUGACAUAGGUGAAUUUAUUCAUUCAGCCAAUUUGUUUAAGUAAAUACUGGGGAGGCUUCAUAAGUCACAAAGAUAUUUUGAUAUGUAAAUGUAGCAAACACAAUGCUUGCUGUAAUAGAGGCACCAUUAUUGGCCAUAAAUAUUUCUGCUGGAGUUAGUUUGUAGCUCCAAGUAAAGAUAAAGAAAUAUGCGUGGUGAAGAAAUAAAAUCGAUUCUGUAUGUGGAGAGGACGUUGUUCUUAUGCUGCAAAACUGACUCUUUCUGAAUUUAAAGAGACAUUCUUCUUAUUUUCUGAUUAUCUUUAGUUUUGUUUUUGUGUCUACUUAUGUUUAUCCCAACUGUGUAUGCAUCACAGCCCUUCUUUUUCUUCUUUGUGUUAUGGCUACAUUUUUAUUGCUGUUUGUUUUGUGCCAUGUCAUUUCACACAGUACUUUGUAGGUUCUGAUGAGAAGUUUGUCAAUGUAACUUUCAGAUCCGUUAAUUGAGAUAAAAGGCAUCCGGUGUUCACAGGUGAGAGGAAUAAAUCAGUCAGAAUUUCUUGUCUUUGUAAAACCAAACUUUUAUUAAAUUUUAACACAGUCUGUGUGUGGUGGCUCACGCCUGUAAUCCCAGCACUUUGGGAGGCUGAGGUGGGAGAAUCACUAAGUCAAGAGAUUGAGACCUUCCUGGCCAAUAUGGUGAAACCCCAUCUCUACUAAAAAUACAAAAAUUAGCUGGGCAUGGUGGCAUGCACCUGUUGACCUAGCCAUUCAGGAGGCUGAGGCAGGAGAAUCGCUUGAACCCAGGAGGCAGAGGUUGCAGUGAGCUGAGAUCGCACCACUGCAUUCCAGCCUGAUGACAGAGCGAGACUUCAUCUCAAAAAAAAACAAAAUUAACACAAUGUGUGGAAAAUAUAAAAUUAGUUAGAAGAUAUGUCUUAGAAAUUAAACUUUUAGAAGAGUUAAUGGUAAGUGGAGAAUGUUAAAUUUUUUAUUACAUACUUACAGCUCAACUUAAGUUUUCAUUCAGAAUCUUUUAUUUUGGUGUGAAUGUUAAAUAUUCAAAAAUAAUAGAAUGACACCUGUGGAUUUCACAUGUGAAGUAAUCUUUUUCAUAUUAACAUUAAAAUCUUGAGGAAUUUCUCACACUUGUA
rnacentral:lncRNA from 1 species